rnacentral:rRNA from 1 species
GACGGAAGGUGCAAGCGUUGCUCGGAAUCACUGGGCGUAAAGGGUGCGUAGGCGGCCGCGCAAGUCUGGCGUGAAAGCCCCGGGCUCAGCCCGGGAGGGCGCUCGAAACGGCGCGGCUCGAGUGCCGGAGGGGAGAGUGGAAUUCCUGGUGUAGCGGUGAAAUGCGUAGAUAUCUGGAGGAACACCGGUGGCGAAGGCGGCAUCCUGGACCGAGACUGACACUGAGGAGCGAAAGCGUGGGGAGCAAACAGG